rnacentral:rRNA from 1 species
UACGAAGGGGGCUAGCGUUGCUCGGAAUCACUGGGCGUAAAGGGCGCGUAGGCGGCCAUUCAAGUCGGGGGUGAAAGCCUGUGGCUCAACCACAGAAUUGCCUUCGAUACUGUUUGGCUUGAGUAUGGUAGAGGUUGGUGGAACUGCGAGUGUAGAGGUGAAAUUCGUAGAUAUUCGCAAGAACACCAGUGGCGAAGGCGGCCAACUGGACCAUUACUGACGCUGAGGCGCGAAAGCGUGGGGAGCAAACAGG